AAGUGCAUGGAGGGGCGACAGCAAGAGGAAGGGUUCAGAGUGGCAGGGGCUGGACCCAUAAGGCCUGGUGGUUCCUGGUCACAUCCUCAGGUUUUUAUCCUGAAUAAGAUGGGAAACUAUAGGAGUGUGCAAGAAGGUAACACAAUCUAAUUUUUUUUAUUUAAAAGGCCCCCCCCGGCUGCUGUGUGGAAAAUGGAUGGAGGAGGCUACUGCAGCCAUCCAGGGCCGAGGACUUUCAAAGAAAAGCUUCUUCUUUUUGCAACCUUUUUGCAAUGUGGCUAAGCCACUUGGCCAUUGUGCACAGCUCUUUUACUGCUCAUUUAUUCAUUGGCAAUUGCAGCAAAUAUUUAUCAAGAGCCUUCUACAUGCCAGAGACUACGUGAGUCUCUGAGGAGGGAGACACGACGAUUAGCAAAAAGCGACUUCAUAUCUACACUCACCGGCUUGUAUUACAUAGAGGGUGAGAGAGAUAUCAACAAAAAAUUUGGAAACUCUACAGUCAUUUUUAAAUUCUGCUUCGAGGCCACCCGGAGCUGGAGGGACUGACACUCUCAGGCAUUAGUCAGCUCGUGGCGGUUAAAAAAAGAAGGCUCGAUGGCACUUGUGAAGAACGUCUCUUCCAGCUUUGAGCACCAAUGGGCUGCCACCUCCCCGCUGCACCACUGGCCAAGGAUAGAGGAAUCGGGAACAGGGCGGAGGGCCCAGAAGCUGGGACCCCUACCCCAACGAGGGCUUCCUCCCAGCUCCCACCUCAUGAUGAUGAUGAUAAUAAGAUCCCACCAGUGCUCCCAAUGGGCCAGACCCAAUGGAAAGCCAGACAACAAGGGUUCCCUUGAUUGACAUAAUCCCUGCAGGCCAACCACUCAGGACAGAGAGCAAGGAGAAGGAUGGGAAGAGGAUCUGAGAGGAGAACCACAAGAUCUCCAGCCAAAGUCAAGUACACUUUCCUUAUCUACUGCCUUGUGCUUGCAGAGGCAUAGUAGGUUCUGUUGUCUAUGCCAGCAAGGUCACUAUGGAAGGUACAGUUGUCACUACGGCUAGUUCAUGCUGCAGGAACAAACAACUCCCAAUUCUCAAGACUUCAAACAGGUUGGCAAACUAUAGCCUGCAAGCUGGUCACUCAUCUUGUAAACAAAGUUUCAUCGAGACACAGCCACAACCACCCAUUUACGUACUGUCUGUGCCUGCUUUCUUGCUCCAACAGCAGAGUUGAGUAGCUGUGACAAGCCUAAAAUAUUCAUUCUCUGGCCAAGAAAAUUUGCCAACCCUUGGCUUAAAAAAACACAGGUUUGCUUCUUACUCCGGUUCCCUGUCCAUCUCCAGUUGGCAAGGCUUCUCCUCCAUAACGUCCACAGUCAGGGGCCCAGGCUGGCGAGCCCUCCCUUGAAGAACCCGCCAGUCUCCCUGGCAGGGGAUGCAGACAAAAAAUUGCUCACCAGCUCUUGAGGCUCCCAUCAGAAAGAGACACACCUCACUUCUGCUCACAGAUCUUGGCAGAAAUCAAGUGCCAAGGACGUGCCUAACUUCAAGAAGGCUGGAAAGUACAGCCUCUCCACGCACCCCACAUGAGGAGACCCAGAAAUGGACCCAGAUGGUGGAUAGCACUCCUGACAACUGCGGCAUGCGAACACGGCAAACGGUUGUAAAACAAAGGAAUGAGGACACCGCUGGGUCUUGCAGCAAGCUUCUCCAGAAUCCCUCCUGUGCACAGGGCUCAGGGAAGCCAGACAGGAUUACACCCGGGGGUGGAGAAGCUGGAGAGAAUGCAUGUCACAUGCACGCUCGGCCACUACCCUUUUUUAUGGCCUCCAUGGAAACAGAAGCAGAAACCAGAGGGUCCCUAGGAGCUCCAGCCACACCCACUUCUCAUUCUCUGGGGACAAAUGUCUGAGGGCUCCCUUCUCUCUCCAUCAGGGUCCAGAAGCUGGCCAAGGACUGAAGAGGCUUUGGCUCAAUUUAUGACUUUAUUACCAGUCGCCUUCCAGCUGUGAGCCUCCACUUCCCCAGCUGCAACAAUCUGUGGGUCUCAAGGUGAGGUCCUGUGACUGGCAGCAUCGCCAUCACCUGGAAACUGAUUAGAAAUCCACAUUCUCAAGCCCCACCCAGCUCUAUUGAAUGGGAAGCUCUGGUGGAGGAUCCCAGAAAUCUGGACUUCAACAAGUGUCUCCGGUGAUUCUGAUGCUUGAGGAAUAUAAGGCACAAACGAACUGAGAUGUGCAAAGCCCGGGCCCGCACUGCUUUUCCAGCAGUCCUCCCCACCUGCAUAAAUGACAGUUUCAUUCUGGUUUAAGCCAAAAACCUGGAGCCAUCCUAGAGGGUUCUCAGACCCUAAUCCUGUGGCUUAGCCUUUAGAAUAUAUUCAGAUCUUGGCCUCCCUCUCCACCUCCUUCACUCUGCGUGGCCCUAGCCUCUGCCAUCUGACACCCACAUACUACCUUGCCUUUCUAACCCCCGC